rnacentral:rRNA from 1 species
UGCGUAGGCGGGUUCUUAAGUCAGGGGUGAAAUCCUGGAGCUCAACUCCAGAACUGCCUUUGAUACUGAGAGUCUUGAGUUCGGGAGAGGUGAGUGGAACUGCGAGUGUAGAGGUGAAAUUCGUAGAUAUUCGCAAGAACACCAGUGGCGAAGGCGGCUCACUGGCCCGAUACUGACGCUGAGGCACGAAAGCGUGGGGAGCAAACA